rnacentral:sRNA from 2 species
AAACGAAAUAAGCCGAGACUUCCUCUUUGAAAAGGAAGUGCGGGGGACUUUUUUGUGGAUGAGCUAUUCCACAUUGGGGUGAAUCGCCGAACUGGCGUAGGGUUGUUUCCUCAAUCCGAAUCCGACAACUAACCUCGUAGGCAAAAAAAAGGAGAGAU